UACGUAGGGGGCUAGCGUUGUCCGGAUUUAUUGGGCGUAAAGAGCGUGUAGGCGGCCAGGUAGGUCUGGUGUGAAAACUCGAGGCUUAACCUCGAGAUGUCAUCGGAAACCAUCUGGCUAGAGUCCGGAAGAGGAGAGUGGAAUUCCUGGUGUAGCGGCGAAAUGCGCAGAUAUCAGGAAGAACACCAAUGGCGAAGGCAGCUCUCUGGGACGGUACUGACGCUGAGACGCGAAAGCGUGGGGAGCGAACAGG
rnacentral:rRNA from 1 species